rnacentral:rRNA from 1 species
GGCCUUGACAUACUAAGAACUUUCCAGAGAUGGAUUGGUGCCUUCGGGAACUUAGAUACAGGUGCUGCAUGGCUGUCGUCAGCUCGUGUCGUGAGAUGUUGGGUUAAGUCCGCAACGAGCGCAACCCUUUUCCUAUUUCGCCAGCGGGUAAUGCCGGGAACUUUAAGGAUACUGCCAGUGACAAACUGGAGGAAGGCGGGGACGACGUCAAGUCAUCAUGGCCCUUACGGCCAGGGCUACACACGUGCUACAAUGGUCGGUACAAAGGGUUGCCACCUCGCGAGAGGAUGCUAAUCUCAAAAAGCCGAUCGUAGUCCGGAUCGCAGUCUGCAACUCGACUGCGUGAAGUCGGAAUCGCUAGUAAUCGCGGAUCAGAAUGCCGCGGUGAAUACGUUCCCGGGCCUUGUACACACCGCCCGUCACACCAUGGGAGUUUGUUGCACCAGAAGUAGGUAGUCUAACCGCAAGGAGGACGCUUACCACGGUGUGGCCGAUGACUGGGGUGAAGUCGUAACAAGGUAAGCGUAGAUGA